CCUGAGAAACCCGAAAGAUCGAAUGGGGAGAUUCAUCGUCAGCGAUUCCGGCGCUUCCGCGGUUCGUGAUGCCGCGGGGACUUCGGUCCUCGUGGGUACGCGUCCGCGGGGGACCUCCGCCGGAUGUCGUCGGCGUGCACUUCUCCCCUAGUAGAACGUCGCGACCCGUUGGGCGUCGGUCUACGACUCGGGCGGGAGCCUGUCACGCGUACGGCACCCUUCGCGGGGUGUCAUGUGGCUGACAGAUCCCCGGUCGUCCGACCAGCUGCUCGGCGGUACUCGCACGGUAUAGAGCCGCAAAAAUUUUGAACGCGUCCGGCCCGCCGCAAGUGAGGCCAGUGCAUCCGGAUCUGUACGGACUUUGCGCCGUCGCCGGGCCUGGCCAGCUGCUGGCUGGCGGUGUCCUGGGACUGGCUCCGAUUGAUAUACCGGUCGGCGACGCUACUGCUUCGGGUACUUUCAGGA
rnacentral:rRNA from 1 species